rnacentral:rRNA from 1 species
AAAUUGAAGAGUUUGAUCAUGGCUCAGAUUGAACGCUGGCGGCAGGCCUAACACAUGCAAGUCGAACGGUAACAGGAAACAGCUUGCUGUUUCGCUGACGAGUGGCGGACGGGUGAGUAAUGUCUGGGAAACUGCCUGAUGGAGGGGGAUAACUACUGGAAACGGUAGCUAAUACCGCAUAACGUCGCAAGACCAAAGAGGGGGACCUUCGGGCCUCUUGCCAUCGGAUGUGCCCAGAUGGGAUUAGCUAGUAGGUGGGGUAACGGCUCACCUAGGCGACGAUCCCUAGCUGGUCUGAGAGGAUGACCAGCCACACUGGAACUGAGACACGGUCCAGACUCCUACGGGAGGCAGCAGUGGGGAAUAUUGCACAAUGGGCGCAAGCCUGAUGCAGCCAUGCCGCGUGUAUGAAGAAGGCCUUCGGGUUGUAAAGUACUUUCAGCGGGGAGGAAGGGAGUAAAGU